rnacentral:lncRNA from 1 species
GUGUCAGGUGUUUCAAUGGCAGGAUGAGGGUAGACAAUGGUGGGAUGGGGAUAAGGUGCUAUUUUUGAGAAGACAGCCAGAGAAAGCCUCUUUGGGAAACCACGUUUGAAGAGAUAAAGUUCCUAAGUGUUAAGGGAAUGAAGAAGCAAUCCAUGAAAAUAUCCAGGGGAGGAGUGCUCCAGGCAGAGAGGUCAGCAAAUGUGGAGUUCUCUUGCUCUAAGGAAAGCCAGCUGCCAUGUCAUGAGGAAAUUCAAGCAGCCAAGGGAGAGCCCACCUGCUUAGGAAUUGGAGCCUCCUGCCAAUAGCCAGAGAGAAACAGAGAUCUUCAUUGAUGGUGAACAGCCAUGUCAAUGAACUAUUUUGGAAGUUGAUCUUUCAGUCAAGCUUUCAGAUGACAUCUCUUUCUUUUUCCCAUUUUAAAAAUUGUGG